AGGAAAGCAUUGUCUCUGUCUGUGAUGGUCUCAGUCAUGUGCAGCUCCACCUUUCCUGGAAUCUAGGUGACCACCGGUUUCGGAUAACAGCUGGAGGCUUCUAGGUCCUGAAGGAGAGAUGAUUGGAUUGAUGAUUGAUUCAUGCUUCUGAGGGAAUUAAUAUGAAAUGAUAUUCUACCACAGCCAUAAGGACGUAGAAGUCUGGUCAGUUCAUCAUACAGUCGAUGGAGCAGUUCCCUCUAGUGGUUGGAGCCUGUGAUGCUGAACGAAGAAAUCAAGGCUAAAGCAAAUAAAGGCUUUUCUUAGUUCCAGGAGCCACUUGGCGACAUCAUUUAUAAGUGUUCAUAAUGCAUUUUUAAGAUUUAUGAAAUAAAUCAACCUGUACAGACUCAGAGGGAAACCUGGAUUAUGACUGAUAAACAACUAUCCAAAUGCACAUAUGUGAGGGUCUUGCUAUGUCACUAAGUUGCCCACACGGCCCUGAUACUUUUGAUCUGGCUGCCUCAGCCUCCCAAAGUGCUGAAAUUACAGGAAAUAAGAGUCAAGAGCAGAGAAAUCUGAUACCUAUUAUUCAUGGUCAAAAGCAGGACAAGGAGAAGUACCAGGCCUUGGGAAAGCAGGACUCCACCUUCAAAGGAUGGGGCUUGAGACCUGGCUUGGAAGUGUUUGCGCGGAAGUAAGAGAAAGCCCCCAUCCUCCUCUCGGUCCUGCAGCACUGGAAACCAGAAAAAAAAAUAGUCUCAAAGAUACUUCUAGAGAAUGGUGUUCACUGGGUGGAAAUUUAGGUGUAAUGCUGUGAGUGAAACUUCAAUAGGCACUGAGGAUCUUCCAGAGAGGUUUCAAAUAUAAACUGGUUUGAUGAAAGGAAGCGCCAGAAACAGCUUCUUAUUGAGUGUUUCCUUGAAGUAGUAUUGUUUCAAUGCUGUUGAAUAUUAAUGAUGGAAGGAAGCUCAUUCCAUCUGCUCUCUUAUUCUGACUUUAGCAAGUUAUGUUCCUUAUUACUUCCACAUUUCUGACCAUUCUUCAAAACCAGAUUACAAGUUUUUAUUCAGUGUUUACUGUAUGUAUUUAAUGAUCUGUUGUGGGAGGUCCUAUGGGGAAACAGAUCGCAUGUCAUUUCCCUCCAUUAAAAUUAUUGCAUUCUUACAUCUCCAACUCCACUCCUUGGUUGCCCUUCAUGCUUUUGCUACUUGUAACUUCUUCCCUGUGCUUCAAAAUCUUGCGUUCAAUUCAUCUUACCCGGACUCAGCCAAGUGGCAUUUACCCCCUUCUUCACUGUAUUUCCAAAGAAAUACGUUCUUAUUGCAAAUGGCACUUUUAAAUAUUGUUUCGCACUGACUUGUUUACAUGCUCUAUUGCCACUGUGUUGUAAAUUCAUGUCCGAGUCAUCCCUGCAGUUGUUCAAAAUUAGUUCCCAAUAAAAUUGAUGACUAUUUGCCUGUAAGGAGCUUACUGUUUCUUUAAACAGGAAGCAUGUUUAAAACAACUCAAAAUUGUAGAAGGCAAUAAUUAAUUAAUUCAUUAAUUCAGUGAAUUUUUAUUAAUUGCAUGUUUUAGUCUGAGGAGAGAAGUGAAUAAGACUUGGUAUCUGACUACAUAGAAUUUAAAAUUUGGGCUCAGACAGAGAUGUUAAAUAAUAAAUUAUAAAAAUUAUUUGUGAUUAGUGUAGCAGUAAAGAAAUGCAGACUGUGAGCAGACUAUGAAGAAAAUGUGCACAGGGGAACAGUAUGUUCAAAGGCCCUGAAGUGACAAGGAGCUGGGUCCUUUAGAGAAACAGAAAAGUUUGGGGCCCUUGAUGCAGGAACAGGUAGAGUAAACUGGCAGGAGAUCAAUUUGGGGACCAAGAGUUAAGAUCACAUAGGGGUUUUGAGGUCAUGUUAAAAUAUCUGGGAUUUAUUUUAAAAUUUCAGGAAAUCAUUGAAGAAAAUUAAGCAAGACUGCAACAUAAUUUAGUUUACUUUGGUUUUGUUUGAUAUAAGGUCUCACUAUAUAGCACAGACUGUCCUCAAACUCGAGAUCCUUUUGUCUCAUACUCCAGAGUGCUGAGACUAAGUGUGCACUGCUACAUCCUUCAAUUUACCUUUUUAGAGAAGAAUACUCCAGCUGCUAGAUGAAUAUUGGAUAUGGGGAGAAAAAUUAGGAGGGUAAAUGAUGAUCAUACCUAAUGUUAAUGUGUCUAUUUAUGUUAUGGACAUUGUCAAUGGAAAUAGAGACAGUAUAUGGAUUUGAGAGACUCAUAGGAGCCAUGUCUCACAGGAUUUAAAGAUUGACUGUGUAUGUGUGUGUGUGAGUGGAAGUAGUGAAGAAUAGAGGAAUAAGAGAGAAGAAAACAUCAAAGAUGACUUCCAUCAUCUUGGGAUUGAACAACUUUGUAACAGUUGGGGCAAUUUUAAAUGUUUAUAUAGACUAUUAAAAAAAAAAGAAAAGUUGCCAACCCCAAGCUCCUUCAUCAUUUUUUUGAACAUGAAAUUCCCUUGGGUCUUUGUAAAGUAUUCAAGUGACUCCUAUGAAAGCCAAAGGACUCAGGCUGGUGGUGACAGGUGACCUCUUAAGGCAUUUUUGGUAGGGUUGGCUGAGACCCUAACUGCUAUCAAGGAAUUGGCACCAUGCCUGGACUUGUCUGGAGAGGGGCUCUUCUAGUAGGUGGUGAGAUGGGGGAAAGGGAAGAUAGAAAGCACAGAAAAAGGCGUAUCUUUCUUAUCGACAAAUGUAAUAAUUUUGCUGAACAGUGAGGAGCUACUAAAAGGAAUAUAUAAUACUGUUUCUAGAGAAGUAGGCUUGGCAAAUGUGCACACAUAAUUCAAUUUAGAUCCCUUCCUCUGUGCUCUCAACUGAACUCUCUGUCACCCUACAGGCAACCUUCCCCACAAGUUCAAGAAUCUCUUGGAGCUUCAAUGUCCCUGAUAGCAAUUUCCUACAACUUUCCCUGAAACACUGAGCUUAGAAGCCCAUAUGAUGUAUCUGUGACUCAAUAUCACUAAUAAUUAAGGUAAUAGAUUUAAAAGUAUCUCCAAAAGUUUUAGCUUUCUGCCACCCCGGCCUGCAGCUCCCUUCAUCCCACCCUCCGAGCUAAACACAAAGGAGCUCCUCUGAGGAAGCCUGUACUACUCUCUAAAAAGCACUGGGUGGCAGCAGAGGAGCUCCUUCACUGCGGUGAAAAAGGCUUCUGCA